AGAGUUUGAUCCUGGCUCAGAAUCAACGCUGGCGGCGUGCCUAACACAUGCAAGUCGCACGAGAAAGGGUAGCAAUACCUGAGUAAAGUGGCGCACGGGUGAGUAACACGUGAAUGAUCUACCUCCGAGUGGGGAAUAACUGAGAGAAAUCUUGGCUAAUACCGCAUAACACUUACGAGUCAAAGCAGCAAUGCGCUUGGAGAGGAGUUCGCGGCAGAUUAGCUAGUUGGCGGGGUAAUGGCCCACCAAGGCGAUGAUCUGUAUCCGGCCUGAGAGGGCGCACGGACACACUGGAACUGAAACACGGUCCAGACUCCUACGGGAGGCAGCAGUGGGGAAUUUUGCGCAAUGGGGGAAACCCUGACGCAGCAACGCCGCGUGGAGGAUGAAGCCCCUUGGGGUGUAAACUCCUUUCGAUCGGGAAGAUAAUGACGGUACCGAUAUAAGAAGCCCCGGCUAACUUCGUGCCAGCAGCCGCGGUAAUACGAGGGGGGCAAGCGUUGUUCGGAAUUAUUGGGCGUAAAGGGUGCGUAGGCGGUUUGGCAAGUCUUAUGUGAAAUCUAUGGGCUCAACCCAUAGCCUGCAUGAGAAACUGCCGGGCUUGAGUAUGGGAGAGGUGAGUGGAAUUUCCGGUGUAGCGGUGAAAUGCGUAGAUAUCGGAAGGAACACCUGUGGCGAAAGCGGCUCACUGGACCAUAACUGACGCUGAGGCACGAAAGCUAGGGGAGCAAACAGGAUUAGAUACCCUGGUAGUCCUAGCCCUAAACGAUGAUUGCUUGAUGUGGCAGGUACCCAAUCCUGCCGUGUCGAAGCUAACGCGAUAAGC
rnacentral:rRNA from 1 species